CUCGGUGAGGUUUCAGGUGAUCCUGCGGGGACAGAGGGAGCAGACUGAACAUCCAGGUUACAGUAAAGGCUGCCAGCUUCUCUCUGGUUUCCAGUGCAGGAAAGACCGAUUUUCUCCUUGAACUCCUGCGUGAAGCUGCGUUUCCCGCUCAGCACCUUGGAGAGGGUUCCGUUACGCGCCGGGAUGCGCUGUGCCAGACUCUGGACUUAAUCCUUACAUUCAGCUUAACAGGAGGCGAUCAGCAUCCAUUGAUCGGGGUUUAAUGCCACGCAGCGUGGAGAAGAGUGGGAGUGCUGCACCUGGUUUUACAAUUAAAGGAUAUUUCUUGCGACUGAAUGAGACUCAGAAAUGUCUUUUAAUUGUUUGACUACGUGUGGUUUAAAAUGCAGAGAGAGAAAAAGCUUUAAAGCUGCGUCCAGAUGCGUGUUUCAGCACCACGGGGUCCGGACAGCUCCUUCAUGCUGAGGUGGUUUAAAAAAGAAAUAAAAUAAAAGGUGGUUCUCGACUUUAUCAUUCAUCUAAA